AGGGCCUUGGUGUAGUGGUUAUCAUCGGGCGUUUGGGACGCUCGGAGGCCGGUUCGAUUCCGGCAGGCCCUAUUU
rnacentral:tRNA from 1 species